rnacentral:rRNA from 1 species
UAUUUUAUUUUUUAUUAUUUUUUUACCCGCCAGACGAACGCUGGCGGCGUGCCUAAUACAUGCAAGUCGAACGCUUCUUUUUUCCACCGGAGCUUGCUCCACCGGAAAAAGAGGAGUGGCGAACGGGUGAGUAACACGUGGGUAACCUGCCCAUCAGAAGGGGAUAACACUUGGAAACAGGUGCUAAUACCGUAUAACAAUCGAAACCGCAUGGUUUUGAUUUGAAAGGCGCUUUCGGGUGUCGCUGAUGGAUGGACCCGCGGUGCAUUAGCUAGUUGGUGAGGUAACGGCUCACCAAGGCCACGAUGCAUAGCCGACCUGAGAGGGUGAUCGGCCACAUUGGGACUGAGACACGGCCCAAACUCCUACGGGAGGCAGCAGUAGGGAAUCUUCGGCAAUGGACGAAAGUCUGACCGAGCAACGCCGCGUGAGUGAAGAAGGUUUUCGGAUCGUAAAACUCUGUUGUUAGAGAAGAACAAGGAUGAGAGUAACUGUUCAUCCCUUGACGGUAUCUAACCAGAAAGCCACGGCUAACUACGUGCCAGCAGCCGCGGUAAUACGUAGGUGGCAAGCGUUGUCCGGAUUUAUUGGGCGUAAAGCGAGCGCAGGCGGUUUCUUAAGUCUGAUGUGAAAGCCCCCGGCUCAACCGGGGAGGGUCAUUGGAAACUGGGAGACUUGAGUGCAGAAGAGGAGAGUGGAAUUCCAUGUGUAGCGGUGAAAUGCGUAGAUAUAUGGAGGAACACCAGUGGCGAAGGCGGCUCUCUGGUCUGUAACUGACGCUGAGGCUCGAAAGCGUGGGGAGCAAACAGGAUUAGAUACCCUGGUAGUCCACGCCGUAAACGAUGAGUGCUAAGUGUUGGAGGGUUUCCGCCCUUCAGUGCUGCAGCUAACGCAUAAGCACUCC